GCCUCCAUAGCUCAGUUGGAUAGCUCAGUUGGUUAGAACAUGGUACUGAUAAUGCCAAGGUUGCAGGUUCAAUCCCCGUAAUGGGACA